rnacentral:tRNA from 1 species
UGGGCCGUAGCCAAGCGGUUAAGGCAUCGGGUUUUGAUCCCGACAUGCGUAGGUUCGAUCCCUACCGGCCCAGCCA